GGACAGGUGUCUGAGCGGUCUAAAGAGACGGUCUUGAAAACCGUUGUGGAGCAAUCCACCGCGAGUUCGAAUCUCGCCCUGUCCGCAA
rnacentral:tRNA from 1 species